rnacentral:lncRNA from 1 species
CUCUGAAGCUUGUUGCUCUUGGAGGCAAGCAUGUUGCAUUUGACAGUCACACUGUCAUCUUUUCACAUCUUGUAUGUGGUCCUUUCCUCCUCGGAAGCAUCUUUCCCAAUGGAAUCUGGUGCAGGUGUGUCUAGAAUGUAGGAGGCUUUCUUCUGAGUGAGAAUAAUUUUCAAGUUUCUUAACUAGUCUACGUAGUUAGGUCCAGUCAAUUUGUUUGCAUCUAGGAUGCCUCUAAGUGAC